GUGUACCGCAUUAAGAUUCUCAUUUACUUUAGAUUUUAUUGAUUUCUUUUAUAGAUUUGGAUAUACAUGAUAUUUUUAAUGAUAACCAAAAUCUUUAUAUUGGCUAGUAUACAAGUAGCAUAAAGGAAGAGCUAUUAUGAGUGCCAAGUGUUGUCACAGGCCACAAUAGUUCUACUUUGAAGACCAUUGGCUUAUGCAAAGUGGCAAAUAAGCAGGACUAGCUUUAGUAUAGCAUUUGUGUAUUGCUUUAAAAAAUUUUAUCGCAGUGUUUUGUCCUACUUGU
rnacentral:misc_RNA from 1 species